rnacentral:rRNA from 1 species
GGCGAACGCUGGCGGCGUGCUUAACACAUGCAAGUCGAACGGUGAAGCGCUUGCCUUUUUGGUGGGUGUGGAUGAGUGGCGAACGGGUGAGUAACACGUGAGUAACCUGCCCUCUUCUUCUGGAUAACCUCAUGAAAGUGGGGCUAAUACGGGGUAUUCCGGGUCUGUCGCAUGGCGGGUUUGGGAAAGAUUGCGCCUUUGGGUGUUUUCGGUGGGGGAUGGGCUCGCGGCCUAUCAGCUUGUUGGUGGGGUGAUGGCCUACCAAGGCGGUGACGGGUAGCCGGCCUGAGAGGGUGGACGGCCACACUGGGACUGAGACACGGCCCAGACUCCUGCGGGAGGCAGCAGUGGGGAAUAUUGCACAAUGGGCGCAAGCCUGAUGCAGCGACGCCGCGUGAGGGAUGGAGGCCUUCGGGUUGUGAACCUCUUUCGCCAGUGAAGCAGGCCUGCUCCUGUGUGGGUGGGUUGACGGUAGCUGGAUAAGAAGCGCCGGCUAACUACGUG